UCCCAAUUACUAAAAAACCAAAAAUUAAUCAACUAGAACCCCAAGUCUCAGGAUACUCUUCAGUAGCCAU
rnacentral:tRNA from 1 species